GAUGAACGCUGGCGGCGUGCCUAAUACAUGCAAGUCGAGCGAACAGACGAGGAGCUUGCUCCUUUGACGUUAGCGGCGGACGGGUGAGUAACACGUGGGUAACCUACCUAUAAGACUGGGAUAACUUCGGGAAACCGGAGCUAAUACCGGAUAAUAUUUCGAACCGCAUGGUUCGAUAGUGAAAGAUGGCUCUGCUAUCACUUAUAGAUGGACCUGCGCCGUAUUAGCUAGUUGGUAAGGUAACGGCUUACCAAGGCAACGAUACGUUGCCGACCUGAGAGGGUGAUCGGCCACACUGGAACUGAGACACGGUCCAGACUCCUACGGGAGGCAGCAGUAGGGAAUCUUCCGCAAUGGGCGAAAGCCUGACGGAGCAACGCCGCGUGAGUGAUGAAGGUCUUCGGAUCGUAAAACUCUGUUAUUAGGGAAGAACAAACGUGUAAGUAACUGUGCACGUCUUGACGGUACCUAAUCAGAAAGCCACGGCUAACUACGUG
rnacentral:rRNA from 1 species